rnacentral:rRNA from 1 species
GGGCCCGCACAAGCGGUGGAGCAUGUGGUUUAAUUCGAUGAUACGCGAGGAACCUUACCAGGACUUAAAUGUAAGUUGCAUGAUUCAGAAAUGAAUCUUUCUUCGGACUACUUACAAGGUGCUGCAUGGUUGUCGUCAGCUCGUGCCGUGAGGUGUCAGGUUAAGUCCUAUAACGAGCGCAACCCCUAUCGUUAGUUGCCAUCAAGUAAAGUUGGGAACUCUAGCGAAACUGCCGGUGUAAACCGAGAGGAAGGUGGGGAUGACGUCAAAUCAUCACGGCCCUUACGUUCUGGGCUACACACGUGCUACAAUGGUCGGUACAGAAAGCAGCCACUAUGCGAAUAGGAGCUAAUCUUUAAAACCGAUCUCAGUUCAGAUCGUAGGCUGCAACUCGCCUACGUGAAGGCGGAAUCGCUAGUAAUCGCAGGUC